UACAGAGGGUGCGAGCGUUGUCCGGAAUCACUGGGCGUAAAGGGCGCGUAGGUGGUGGCUUAAGCGUGCGGUGAAAGCUCGGGGCUCAACCCCGAGUCGGCCGUGCGAACUGGGCUCACUGGAGCAUAGUAGAGGCAGGUGGAAUUCCGGGUGUAGCGGUGGAAUGCGUAGAGAUCCGGAAGAACACCGGUGGCGAAGGCGGCCUGCUGGGGGUACCCUGACGCUGAGGCGCGACAGCGUGGGGAGCGAACCGG
rnacentral:rRNA from 1 species